rnacentral:rRNA from 1 species
AGGCCACUGCUAUCGGGGUUUGACUAAGCCAUGCGAGUCGAGAGGUGCAAGACCUCGGCGAACUGCUCAGUAACACGUGGACAAUCUGCCCUGAAGAAGAGAAUAAUCCCGGGAAACUGGGGGUAAUGCUCUAUAUUCCGAACUGACUGGAAUGUUGUUUGGAAGAAAGAUUUAUCGCUUCAGGAUGAGUCUGCGGCCGAUUAGGUUGUUGUUGGGGUAAAGGCCCAACAAGCCUGUAAUCGGUACGGGUUGUGGGAGCAAGAGCCCGGAGAUGGAUUCUGAGACACGAGUCCAGGCCCUACGGGGCGCAGCAGGCGCGAAAACUUUACAAUGCGGGCAACCGUGAUAAGGAAACCCCGAGUGCCACCAUGGGGUGGCUGUCCGCCAGUUUAAACAACUGGUGAAGAAAGGGCCGGGCAAGACCGGUGCCAGCCGCCGCGGUAAUACCGGCGGCUCGAGUGGUGGCCGCUUUUACUGGGCUUAAAGGGUCCGUAGCUUGAUUCAUGGGUCCCUUGAGAAAUCCAUCGGCUUAACUGAUGGGCGUUCAGGGGAAACUGUGUAUCUAGGGACCGGGAGAGGUGAGAGGUACUGCCGGGGUAGGAGUGAAAUCCUGUAAUCCCGGUGGGACGACCUAUGGCGAAGGCAUCUCACCAGAACGGCUCCGACAGUGAGGGACGAAAGCUGGGGGAGCAAACCGGAUUA